rnacentral:rRNA from 1 species
AUUGAACGCUGGCGGCAGGCCUAACACAUGCAAGUCGAACGGUAACAGGAAGCAGCUUGCUGCUUUGCUGACGAGUGGCGGACGGGUGAGUAAUGUCUGGGAAACUGCCUGAUGGAGGGGGAUAACUACUGGAAACGGUAGCUAAUACCGCAUAACGUCGCAAGACCAAAGGGGGGGACCUUCGGGCCUCUUGCCAUCGGAUGUGCCCAGAUGGGAUUAGCUAGUAGGUGGGGUAACGGCUCACCUAGGCGACGAUCCCUAGCUGGUCUGAGAGGAUGACCGGCCACACGGGAAAAGAGACAGGGUCCAGACCCCUGGGGGGGGCAGCAGGGGGGAAUUUUGCACAAGGGGGGCAGGCUGGAUGCAGCCUUGCCGGGGGUAGGAAGAAGGCUUGGGGUUUUAAAAGCUCUUCCGGGGGGGAGAAAGGAGAAAAAGUUACUCCCUUGCCUAAUUGAGGUCCCCCGAAAGAGAACCCCCGGCAACCCCGGUG